rnacentral:rRNA from 1 species
UGCGUAGGUGGUUCGUUAAGUCUGUCGUGAAAGCCCCGGGCUCAACCUGGGAAUGGCGAUGGAUACUGGCGGGCUAGAGUGCGGUAGAGGGUGGUGGAAUUCCCGGUGUAGCAGUGAAAUGCGUAGAGAUCGGGAGGAACAUCAGUUGCGAAGGCGGCCACCUGGACCAGCACUGACACUGAGGCACGAAAGCGUGGGGAGCAAACAGGAUUAGAUACCCUGGUAGUCCACGCCCUAAACGAUGCGAACUGGACGUUGGGAGCAACUAGGCUCUCAGUGUCGAAGCUAACGCGUUAAGUUCGCCGCCUGGGGAGUACGGUCGCAAGACUGAA